GAUGAAGAACGUAGCGAAAUGCGAUAAGUAAUGUGAAUUGUAGAAUUCAGUGAAUCAUCGAAUCUUUGAACGCACAUUGCGCCCAUUAGUAUUCUAGUGGGCAUGCCUGUUCGAGCGUCAUUUCAACCCUUAAGCCUAGCUUAGUGUUGGGAGACUGCCUAAUACGCAGCUCCUCAAAACCAGUGGCGGAGUCUGUUCGUGCUCUGAGCGUAGUAAUUUUUUAUCUCGCUUCUGCAAGCCGGCCAGACGACAGCCAUAAACCGCACCCUCUCGGGGGGCACUUUUUUAAUGGUUGACCUCGGAUCAGGUAGGAAUACCCGCUGAACUUAAGCAUAUCAAUAAGCGGAGGA
rnacentral:misc_RNA from 1 species